rnacentral:rRNA from 1 species
UGCCUGGCGGCGAUAGCGCGGUGGUCCCACCUGACCCCAUGCCGAACUCAGAAGUGAAACGCCGAAGCGCCGAUGGUAGUGUGGGGUCUCCCCAUGUGAGAGUAGGGAACUGCCAGGCAUU